CCAUUCUUUUGUAAACCCUAACCUUCCUCCCCUUCAUCAUGAAUCAUCAUUCUCUUCUCCAAUGGUUAAACAAACCAGAUAGGGUUUCCAUUUCCUCAUCGCAAUCCGAUUUCAAAUCUCAGAAACCCUAUGCAAUCCGAAGAUAUAUUUAGGAUUGUUUUCGACGCCCUAGAUAUCGCAUACAUCUUCCUUCUCGACGAAGCCUCUUAAAUCUAAACAUUCAAGCAUCAGGCA